rnacentral:rRNA from 1 species
UACGGAGGAUCCGAGCGUUAUCCGGAUUUAUUGGGUUUAAAGGGUGCGUAGGCGGCUUUUUAAGUCAGGGGUGAAAUACGGCAGCUCAACUGUCGCAGUGCCUUUGAUACUGAAGAGCUUGAAUGUGGUUGAAGAUGGCGGAAUGAGACAAGUAGCGGUGAAAUGCAUAGAUAUGUCUCAGAACUCCGAUUGCGAAGGCAGCUAUCUAAGCCAUUAUUGACGCUGAUGCACGAAAGCGUGGGGAUCGAACAGG